GACGAACGCUGGCGGCGUGCCUAAUACAUGCAAGUCGAGCGGACGGAUGGGAGCUUGCUCCCAGACCGUCAGCGGCGGACGGGUGAGUAACACGUGGGCAACCUGCCUGUAAGACUGGGAUAACUCCGGGAAACCGGGGCUAAUACCGGAUAACUCUUUCCCUCACAUGAGGGAAAGCUGAAAGAUGGCAUCUCGCUAUCACUUACAGAUGGGCCCGCGGCGCAUUAGCUAGUUGGUGAGGUAACGGCUCACCAAGGCGACGAUGCGUAGCCGACCUGAGAGGGUGAUCGGCCACACUGGGACUGAGACACGGCCCAGACUCCUACGGGAGGCAGCAGUAGGGAACCUUCCGCAAUGGACGAAAGUCUGACGGAGCAACGCCGCGUGAGUGAUGAAGGUUUUCGGAUCGUAAAACUCUGUUGUCAGGGAAGAACAAGUACCGGAGUAACUGCCGGUACCUUGACGGUACCUGACCAGAAAGCCACGGCUAACUACGUG
rnacentral:rRNA from 1 species